CCGGGCCUACGGGAGGCAGCAGUGGGGGAUAUUGCACAAUGGGGGGAACCCUGAUGCAGCGACGCCGCGUGGGUGAAGAAGCGCCUCGGCGCGUAAAGCCCUGUCAGCAGGGAAGAAAAUGACGGUACCUGAAGAAGAAGCCCCGGCUAACUACAUGCCAGCAGCCGCGGUAAUACGUAGGGGGCAAGCGUUAUCCGGAUUUACUGGGUGUAAAGGGAGCGUAGACGGCGGCGCAAGUCCGGAGUGAAAGCCCACGGCCCAACCGUGGGAUGCC
rnacentral:rRNA from 1 species